rnacentral:rRNA from 1 species
UACGGAGGGGGCAAGCGUUAUUCGGAAUCAUUGGGCGUAAAGAGCGCGUAGGCGGCCGUGCAAGUCGGUUGUGAAAUCCCGGGGCUCAACCCCGGGACUGCGUCCGAUACUGCACGGCUCGAGGCAGGUAGGGGAGAGUGGAAUUCCCGGUGUAGCGGUGAAAUGCGCAGAUAUCGGGAGGAACACCGGUGGCGAAGGCGGCUCUCUGGACCUGUCCUGACGCUGAGGCGCGAAAGCUAGGGGAGCGAACAGG